ACUCACCGUCACCCUGGAUAGAGGGGAGAGAGCACUUACUGGAUGAACUCGGUGAGGGUUUUAUCCAAGUUAUUAAAUAAAUCGCGUCAUUAACAUUAAUUUCAAAAACACCCUCUGCUUCUGUGAUUCAUAUUGUGGUCUACUAAGGUCAGGUUUCUAUUGUCGUCUAUUGAGGUCAUGCUUCUAUGUGGUCUGUUAAGGUCAGGUCUCAGGGUUGUGUGUACGUAACGAAGACCGUAAGAUAAGCAGUUCUCUGUUUGUUCAGGAUGUUCUUUUACAUUCAACAGAUGAAUUGACACUUCAGGGCUGGAUGCUUCACAACAAGAGUCUCUACCGUGUUUCUACUACUAAGAAGGGCUGGAGGGCCAGUAGAGAAGACUGUCAGAAGAGAAAGGCAGACCUGUUGGUCAUCAACAGCAGAGAAGAACUGGCGUUUGUCAGCAGAUUGAUGGAUACUUCCUGGAUUGGACUGAGUGAUCGAGAGAAAGAGGGGACCCACAAGUGGGUGGAUGGUACCCCCACGACCUCAAGGUAAGGCUGAAGACUCUGUUCAGCAGCAUCUCUUCUCUGAGAGUGACAGACUGACCUCCACUGUCUCCUCCUCGUGGUUCUCAGUUGGAGACACGUUAAACCACGCGAUGACGGCGGAGCAAGAGACUGCGUCGUAGCAGGGGAGGACGGCUGGUCUGAAGAACCGUGUAACAGACUGCACCACUGGAUCUGUGAGAAGAGCCUAGACCUGGAUCAUCUGGAGGCUGAGCGGAACAAAGAGGGUUCAGUGAUGCCCACGGAGGAGGAGGCCCCCAGCAUCAAAGAGUUCCACUCCUCUACCCACGUGUUGCCCGUGGGCCAAACGGCCCGCUACACCUGCCACGCCGGCGGCACGCCGGAGCCCACAGUAGAGUGGCUCCACAACGGCAGGCCCCUGGAGAGGGACGGCACAGACGACCAAUCAGAGGCCUGGGUGGAGAGGGGCUUCCUCUUCAUCAGAGGUGGGAGGUACGGCGUGAACACGGUCUGCUGCAUGGCGAGCAACAGCGCUGGCACGGCCAAUCACAGCGCUGAGUUGCUUGUCUUUGAUGCCUGUGACCUCACACUGGACCCCAACACGGCCCACAGACACCUCUUAUUUCAUCUCAUCUCACACGUCCGGAAACGGCGCAUUUAUUCAAUGGCAUAUAAUACAAAAAGGGGAAUCUCCCAUCCCGUCAGAACUAUAAAUCAAAGUCUGGGCUCCGUGAGCCUCGGUGUACGGUCCGGUCCUCUCUCCGUCUCUCUCACGUGUUCUCGGGUACUGUUGGUGGGAUGCGGCGCUCUGUCGGCCCGUCGGCCUCCUCGGGAACGGGUUGCAGCGGUCCGUCCUGGGAGCGUAUCUCGGUCCGGUCCUCGGUCCUACACUGGACCCACACGUGUCUCAUUAGCCCGUCUCCGCCUCCCUUUAUGCAUUGCUCACCUGCGUCUGAUCGGCCUCCCUCGCGGGUGUUUCCUCUGAGCCAAUGCCCCGAUGCGGUCCCCGGCGCCCUCUGGGGGAGAAGGGUGGUAGAUCCCCUGCACGACCGGUCCCCUGGGCUUCAGGGCCGCUGUCGUAUCCGGAUCACCCAGACAGAUUUGACUACUGGGACCAGGUGUUGGGUAGAGAGGCUCUGACUGGCCGCUGUUACUGGGAGGUAGAAUGGGAAGGGUCCACUACCCUCCUCCCGGGGGUGGUGUUAGGGUGGGGGUCCUCAGCCUCUCUGUGUCGGUUGUAGACACACACGAAGGGUAGGGUCCUCGGGGCUCGGCGAGGCCUCAGUGGGGAGGGGGGCUGUGGCAGGGUGGGGGAGGGCGGGUGGUGACAAACACACCCAGUGGGCUGAGGGUGUCUGUAGUCUCUCACACUCUCACUCUCACUCUCUCUAGUUCGGGAUCGAACUAGCAACCUUUCGGUUACAAGUCAACCGCUCCACCUCCUGAGCUAAGCCGACCCCCCAAAGAUACAUAUUAACACACAUACAUUACACAUUAUGAAGUUCACAUGUAUGUAUGCAUUAAAGAAUCUCCUCAUUGAGCCCACUUGGUUCACCUGGAGAACACUGGCCUUCAGAACGCCACGCCCAAUUACCAAUUGGUCUCACUCACUGCUCUCCUGUUCAGACUCAACGGGCAGAGCCCUUGACUCAUGUUUCCGUUAUCAUGCUCUAUGUGGUCUUCAAGUUAUCUCCCUGUGUGUUUCACCGGAUGACCGCCCCCAACCGACCCCCCUGGUGACUGCCCCGAUCUUGUUGCCCCCCCUCAGGGUAGCUGUGUUAGAGAGCCCACCCCGUCGUAAGGUCUGGUGCCCCAAACUUCCCCCCAUUUCUAAGGCUAAGCCUUCCUCUGGGCCCUUUAUUGUUGUUCAGACCAACAGAACCACUUUACUGCUGGGGACAGUGAGAGCUGUCAGAGGAAGGUGGAGCUUCACUGCCCAGCAGAGGGCGGUGUCUGGACACUCCAUUUCCUUUAUUUUACAAUUUAAAUCUGUUUUGGUUUAAUCAUGAGUUACCUAAUGAGUGUUUUAUUUUUUAAUUAACCUUCACCUGGUUUACUUGUGGAUGAUGAGUACCCUUUUUAUGUUUACUAUUGCCUUUUAUGCUUCAUUUUGUUGAUUUAUAUUAUUGUUAAUUGUUUACCAGUAGAUACAUUGAAUUCUAAUUUUAAAGGUUGAUCUUUAAACUACGUUAAAUAUGAUCAAUAGGGAGGAAUAUAGAAUGUUGGUGUAUUUUAGUGUCUCUCUGUGUCCACAUCUCUUAGUCUAGGAACAGGCCAGUGCCUCUCCUACUGUACGAGGUGUUAUUUCCAACAUUCUGUCAUUUGUGAUGUCCCAACAAGGACGAACCAACCCGGUCGUCUGGGACAUAGCCAGGGCCAUAUACCUUAUCAAGGGAGACUGUUAUUUUGUUAUUCACGCUUUCUUUCCUAUAAUACUGGCCUCAACACUUUGGUUCGGUGAGAAGAGGGAUGGACAGCCAAGGAGCACGCCUGGAGACUGCUCCUCACCUCCUACACUGAGACUAUCCCACCUAAGUCUGUACCUGUGCUGUAUUACAUCCUCCAAUAAACCUUCUAUUCAACCCUCUGAUCCAACCUGGCAAGUUGCUUUGAUUUCCACUUCAAGAAUUACUACUACGAGGGAGAAAUACACAACGCAGAGUCU
rnacentral:lncRNA from 1 species